CCGUAGCCUGGUAGCGGGGGGUAACUAUUGGAAACGAUAGCUAAUACCGCAUAAUAGUAGAUGUUGCAUGACAUUUGCUUAAAAGGUGCAAUUGCAUCACUACCAGAUGGACCUGCGUUGUAUUAGCUAGUUGGUGAGGUAACGGCUCACCAAGGCGACGAUACAUAGCCGACCUGAGAGGGUGAUCGGCCACACUGGGACUGAGACACGGCCCAG
rnacentral:rRNA from 1 species